rnacentral:rRNA from 1 species
UACGGGGGGGGCAAGCGUUGUUCGGAAUUACUGGGCGUAAAGGGUUCGUAGGUGGCCAACUAAGUCAUACGUGAAAUCCCUCAGCUUAACUGGGGAACUGCGUCUGAUACUGGUUGGCUUGAGUGCAGGAGAGGAACGCGGAAUUCCAGGUGUAGCGGUGAAAUGCGUAGAUAUCUGGAGGAAUACCGGUGGCGAAGGCGGCAUCCUGGACCGACAUUGACGCUGAACGGCGAAGGCUAGGGGAGCAAACGGG